UACGUAGGUGACAAGCGUUGUCCGGAUUUACUGGGCGUAAAGAGCGCGCAGGCGGUCGAUCAAGUCGAGUGUGAAAGCCCCCGGCUCAACUGGGGAGGGUCAUUCGAUACUGAUCGACUCGAAGGCAGGAGAGGGUAGUGGAAUUCCCGGUGUAGUGGUGAAAUACGUAGAUAUCUGGAGGAACACCGGUGGCGAAGGCGGCUACCUGGCCCAACAUUGACGCUGAGACCCGAAAGCAUGGGGAUCAAACAGG
rnacentral:rRNA from 1 species